rnacentral:tRNA from 1 species
GCUGACUUAGCUUAAUUUGGCAAAGCACCCGCCUUGUAAGCGGAAGAGUGUAGGUUCGAUUCCUAUAGUCAGCACCA